ensembl:lncRNA LINC00870 long intergenic non-protein coding RNA 870
GUUGCAGCUUCAGAAGCCUGUAUUUGUGGACAGAGCUCUUCCGAAGGUUCCAGGAGGAUGAAAACAUCCAGUGACUCCCAGAUGUUGCUGGGCUGGAUAUAUUUAUUUCUAAUAAUGCUCCUGGCUCCACGCUUCCAGAUGGACAGUCCCAAAGAGAAUGACUCGUUUAUGGAACGCACACGCUGUGCCAGGCAUUGUGCACAGAGAGACCCAGUUCCUGCCCUCUUGGAGUUUAUAUGACAUGAGCUGAAGACAGACAAGAAGCAAGUGUAAGAGCUACCAGAGGGAGGAAAGUGGAAGCUACCAGACGGAGGAAGCAUAAACCAGGUCCUGAUCCCUGAUUAAUUGAGAAUCAGCCAGCUUGGGAAGGGGAUGGCUGCGCAAGCCCACAGAACGCAGACUCCCAGAGGAGGCAGGGGUAGGAAAGCUCUUGGCCGUGGCCUGAUUGUCUGGGAGAC